CCCGUUUGGCCUCCUACUUGUCCCUGAAAUUCAGUGGUAGAGUUGAGAUUAAAAGUAAUUGCCAAAAUCUUUGUCCAUGUAUUGAAGUGAGGUUGCCCUUUAACCUACCCCGAACUUCCGAACCUUGGAAGUUUUAGUUUUUCCAUUGGUCAUCUUGAUUCUGCAGGUGUAGAACCAGCCAUAGCAGCCUGAGAAGAGAUCACAAGCAAUUAGUAAAGUUCAACGUGCAAGUAAAUCCCCUCUAGAGGUACCAUUGGCCGAUUUCUAUUUGGGCGGUCGACAGAUACAAGAGAAUGAGGGAGAAAUAGUUAUAGGGCUGUUGUAUUAGAAUGCAUUAGUUUUAGCUGAUGCAUAGUGUGUAGAUCAAGUCAUGAGAAGUUGAGCAACUGGAAGAAAGACAUUUGUAACCACCGGUAGCACAGAGUUAAAUAUUUCCUCAUAAAUUAUCCAACAACCACGGAUCAACAGGUGACUGAAGUCAGACAGAGGAAACAGUAUUCCCAGAUUUCAACAUUUAGUUAAAAUAUAGAAAGCAUACAAAACAAUUAAACCAAUUUCCAUCAGCUGUAGAAAUAACCAAAUGCACCUCUACAAACAAAUUGAGUGCUACUGGUGACUGGGCUGCACCGAGGCAGGAACAUUACAGGUCAUUUAGCAGACGCUUUUAUCCAAAGCGACUUACAUUACCACUUUAAACCCAUGGAUUUUUCACAUUUUUGCCCGGGGAGCAAUUAGGGGUUAGGUGUCAGGUGUUGCUCAGGGACACUUACACAUGGAACAUGGGGCAGCCUGGAAUCGAACCAACAACCUUGUGCUUCCCAGCACACCUUCUCUAACCCCUGCACCACGACGACACGAGGGACAGGGACAGGCUCUGGCACAGGGCACUCACAGACUCAGUUUCUCCACACAAACAAUAUAAAAUAGAGGCAUGCUAUGUAAAAAGAAAAUACAGACAAACACAACGGACAAUGGGAUGAGCAGAUGAAAGGCCCAGCCACCAAACCCACCAUCUGGGAUGCUACCCUGCAGACAACCUCAAACACAAAAAUAAACACAAAUUACUUACCAAAAGUAAUCAUCUGCAAACUAGUAUUACCAACAUGAAGAAACUCCAGACCAGAACUGAACAAGCAACACUAAACAGCAAUGGCUUCUAAUGCCAGCCUGGAGUUACUUUGAGGCUCCUCCACCUGGUAUGGCUCACACAUGAUUUGGGCCUCCCUGACGAGCUGGGAGACACAAACAGAAAGAUCACCAACGGCCAAACAUUUUAAAAAGAACUGAGAAUGAAAACACCUACCAGCUCACUGGCUUCUCCAGCCCAGAAAGGGACAAGCAUGCCAAAAGCAGCUUCAUUAUGGGCAGCUUUAUACCCUUUCUAAUGGGUGAACCAGGAAGUAGGAGGUACCAAGGCCUGCCUGAACCUACAGUAGCUCAGGAAGGACAUUUUCUCACUGGCUACACAUUGAAAAAGAUUAUAUAUUAUUCAAAUCAUUGAGUUAUAAUCUCACCGGCUGAGCUUCUUCCCAACAAAGAUGAACUUGUGUUGCAGUAUCACCAUUUAGAUUAUUUCAUCAAAAUCUGGCUGUGCACCCAGUAAGCCAUGGAUCAAAAUUCCCCUCACCUGUAGUUUAGUCCAUUAUAUGCCACAUUUUUGGCCAAGCUUGCACUGUCAUUAGUUUUGGUCCUUAGACUUUUGUUUUAGAGUAUUUGAGAUAUCCUUGGUAAAAACAUCAAUGUAAAGAGUGAAAACAUUUAUUAUGUCCAAUAGAGGUCUGCUGAAGCCACGUGCGUGUAAAUGAUUUGCAAUCUGAAAUUGAUUAAGGCCGAGAUCCUCCUUGUGGCAGUGGCAAGUGGGUGGCAUCAAACUUGAGAGCCCCACCCCCUACACGGAACCCGCCGGUCCAAACCUAAAAUUAGCCUCUGUAAUAAGAAGACGGGGGCUCACGUGUCUCAAAUAAAAUUAAAUAAAAUUAAAUAAAAUUAAAUAUUUACAGCAGCUGACCUGUCGUACAAAUAACAGUUGUUUCUGGGAAAAAUUGGCUCCUCCCACCCAGCGUGCCGUCGUGACGCCGACUGAUUUACUGGCGAUUGCCGCUGCCUGUCACAAAGUUGCCACCCACUUGCCACUGCCACAAGGAGGAUCUCGCUGUCACUCUUGUUUUGACCG
ensembl:lncRNA